rnacentral:tRNA from 2 species
GCCGGGGCGGUGAAAUUGGUAGAUACAUGGGAUUUAAAAUCCCCCGGCGUUCGCGUCGUGCGGGUUCGAGUCCCGCCCCCGGCACCA